CCAAAAAGGAAAUCCGCUUGCUAC
rnacentral:siRNA from 1 species